AUUGAACGCUGGCGGCAGGCCUAACACAUGCAAGUCGAGCGGCAGCGGGACCUUCGGGUCGCCGGCGAGCGGCGGACGGGUGAGUAAUGCCUAGGAAUCUGCCUGUUAGUGGGGGAUAACGCGGGGAAACUCGCACUAAUACCGCAUACGUCCUACGGGAGAAAGUGGGGGACCCUCGGGCCUCACGCUAACAGAUGAGCCUAGGUCGGAUUAGCUAGUUGGUGGGGUAAAGGCCCACCAAGGCGACGAUCCGUAACUGGUCUGAGAGGAUGAUCAGUCACACUGGAACUGAGACACGGUCCAGACUCCCACGGGAGGCAGCAGUGGGGAAUAUUGGACAAUGGGCGAAAGCCUGAUCCAGCCAUGCCGCGUGUGUGAAGAAGGUCUUCGGAUUGUAAAGCACUUUAAGUUGGGAGGAAGGGCGCUCGGUGAAUACCCAGGCGUCUUGACGUUACCGACAGAAUAAGCACCGGCUAACUUCGUGCCAGCCGCCGCAGUAAAAC
rnacentral:rRNA from 1 species